GCCAACGUUCAUAUCACGUUGAAUACACCAGUUCUCGUCCGAUCACUGAAGUUAAGCAACGUCGAGCGUGGAUAGUACCCUCACCCAGGUCUUGAUUCACACAAUCUUUCCA
rnacentral:rRNA from 1 species